rnacentral:rRNA from 1 species
GUGUCAGCAGCCGCGGUAAUACGUAGGAGGCAAACGUUGUCCGGAUUUACUGGGUGUAAAGGGUGCUCAGGCGGUCUUGUAAGUUAGUAGUGAAAUCUCAGAGCUUAACUCUGAAACUGCUUUUAAUACUGCAAGGCUUGAGUGCAGAAGAGGCGGAUGGAAUUUCUGGUGUAGCAGUGAAAUGCGUAGAUAUCAGAAAGAACACCAGUGGCGAAGGCGGUCCGCUGGUCUGUCACUGACGCUAAAGCACGAAAGCGUGGGGAGCAAACAGGAUUAGAUACCCUCGUAGUCC